rnacentral:lncRNA from 1 species
UCCUUGUUCCCCAGUUCCUGUUGACAACCAGGGAACAAGCACAAGUCAACUGAGUAAAUGUACAACUCGAAGGUAAGCAAAAAGAAUAGUAAAUGCAGCCCAUUCAUGUGACAGGAUCCGAUUCAUUUUUAUGCCAGGGAGAUUUUUUAAAUGGGACUUCUCCCAGUUGAGAGCUCACAGUGCUCAAGGCCUGCUUCACUAGAAAAACAAUACAUAAUUAUUCAGAGCUUAUUAGUAUUUUUUAUCACUCGUUUUCCAGUCACAUGGAGCGAGGGCACAGAUGAGAUCAGAACCUAGUUUAUUGCCUUGCACUGUACAGAUUGUACACUCACUCUACUGUAUGACCCCUAUAAAAGGUUCUACCUCUCUGCUUGAUGGAGGAAGACCUGGGCUCAAGGUUGAAGUGACAGGUAUAAGAUGGCAGAACCCGUCAGCAGCAAAAAUGGGGACUCAGCCUGAGACGUUCUACCCAGAGACCCUGCUGCUGGACGUUUUAGAGAUCUUUUCUUCUUACAUUUAUUUUGAAUCAUUGAAAUGAUGAAUUGAAUAAAUGCCAUGUCUUUUGAAGCACUAUUUAUUGUAUUUAUAGAAAACAGAUUAUCUGUUCUCUCAGGCUAGUGGAGAUUAUUAAGAGUGAUAAACUCAUCAGGAAAAAAUGUAGGGUGGGUGUGACAGAGAAACCUGUGUUUUGUUCUGCAGUGCCAUCUUAAUUUCUGGUUGUGGUGUGACAGACUAUGCGGUCUCAGUGAUGUUGCGCCAUCCCCUUUUCUGCUUUCAGGCUGGGGUCACAAGCUGGAUUUGGAAGAAGCAACUUUCUUGCAGAGUGACUGGAAUAUGAAUACUGUCCCAAGGUUUAUUCCUAAAUCUGUUGGAAACGAUGGAAAUGAUCCUAUUGACUCCAACAAAGUCUGCUUUCUGCUGGAUUAAGGCAGAUGUUUGUACAUCAGAUUUGCUGUCCCACUAACGAAAUGGGGAAUUUUAUAAACAUAUCAGGGAAGAGUGGGAUGAAGAAAACGAACAGGAUGGGCCUUGGGAAGAAGGUAAGCAGGGCAGCAAGAGCUGUGAGGAAAGCAUUUGCUGAGUGGCUCAUGAGGGCCCUUACCUUGACAUGGUCCCCAGGUUUUAUCUCUAGUGGUAGGCUCUUGGCCACCGGCAUGCUGGCUCUCCUCCUCGUACGUGCUGUUCCUCCUCUUGAGCAUCACUUGAGAUCUACAGCAGAAGGUUCCUUUCUUCAAGAUGAAUCAAAACAUCAAACAAUCUUGCACUCUUGA